rnacentral:rRNA from 1 species
AUUGAACGCUGGCGGCAGGCCUAACACAUGCAAGUCGAGCGGAUGGAGGGAGCUUGCUCCUGGAUUCAGCGGCGGACGGGUGAGUAAUGCCUAGGAAUCUGCCUGGUCGUGGGGGAUAACGUCCGGAAACGGGCGCUAAUACCGCAUACGUCCUGAGGGAGAAAGUGGGGGAUCUUCGGACCUCACGCUAUCAGAUGAGCCUAGGUCGGAUUAGCUAGUUGGUGGGGUAAAGGCUUACCAAGGCGACGAUCCGUAACUGGUCUGAGAGGAUGAUCAGUCACACUGGAACUGAGACACGGUCCAGACUCCUACGGGAGGCAGCAGUGGGGAAUAUUGGACAAUGGGCGAAAGCCUGAUCCAGCCAUGCCGCGUGUGUGAUGAAGGUCUUCGGAUUGUAAAGCACUUUAAGUUGGGAGGAAGGGCAGUAAGUUAAUACCUUGCUGUUUUGACGUUACCAACAGAAUAAGCACCGGCUAACUUCGUG